UGAAAACGAACUAUGUAGUACAUUGACUUAAUACCUAUAGACGUUGCCUUAAAAUUAUGUUAGACGUGGGAGUGAGAAGCGUAUUUACGAAUUUUAUGAGGAAGUUGAGACAAAAAGUAUUAUCUUCUGUCUCUUAGGCCGUGGAGGUUUUCUUUGUUUGGCUAACUAUCAGUUAGCCAAACAAUUUGCUGUCAAGUUGUGCGCUGUGCGUAAUUUUCUUGUUUAUUAUUGUUUUUUAGGUUUUUAAGAUUGUUUUAAUGUACUUAUUAGAAAAGGACUCCAUUAAUAAGGUGUAGUAUUAUUUAUAAUGGGAGGAUGCAGUGUUUUCAGCUGUAAAAGCCGCAAGGAAACGGAGGCGGAGGAAGAGACUUUUUACUCGUUUCCCAAGGAUAUACAUUUUAAACAAACAUGGAUAAUGGCUACUGGUCAUCAGAAUUAGCAGCCUAAGAAUUUUUUUUUUAAAUUCAGUUUGAGAAGGACACAAUCAAUAUGUAAUUUGGAUUCUAAAAAACUAAUAAAACCUCUAAAAUAAA